AAGUCGUAACAAGGUUUCCGUAGGUGAACCUGCGGAAGGAUCAUUAUCAAUGAUAUCCAUCAUACCCGUGAACGAUAUGAACUGACUUUCGGGGAUUUCGUUCCCGAAUAUUCAAACACAAUUUAUACUUUAUUCAGAUACACGACAUACAAAAUACAACUUUUAGCAACGGAUCUCUAGGUUCUC
rnacentral:misc_RNA from 1 species